UUUAAUUGUUAUGAGUGUAUACAAAGUGUUUGCAACUCUUGGUGUAGCAGCGUUUUCAUCCCUCAUUUAUAUAAUUUAUUAUUUCCAUUAUAGACAAUUUAUAAAUUCACGCGUUCUUUCAAACAUUCAAGUAUUUUUUUUGGUUUUUUCUCCGACUUCAUCUGAUAUUUUAGUUUCUUUUUUUUCUCCACGGAUCGUCUGAUUUAUGCUCUUUUUGUUCCUAUUUGUACUGUUUUUAAGAUAGUCAAUCUUAACGUGUUGAAACCAUCGACUCUGAAAGAGCCAUUAUGGCUUAUAACCUAUUGGUUGAGGUCAUGUACUCAAAGAAUUGAACUAUGGCCACAUUGUUGUGUUCUUCUUCUUCUUCUGAUAUGUACGAUGUUGGGUUAUAACCUCAUGUACUUUUAUACAAGCCUAAUAAGAUUUUUUGUGAUAGAAUCUUGUUUAAGUACAAUUGGGUAGAAGAGAGUAUUCGAAAAGAAUAUUACAUAUACUUGGAUGAGAGUCAUGUUAAAUCACGUGUUGCAUCUCAUUCAAUUCUCAAGGAAGAUUA
rnacentral:lncRNA from 1 species